AUUGAACGCUGGCGGCAUGCCUUACACAUGCAAGUCGAACGGCAGCACGGGUGCUUGCCCCUGGUGGCGAGUGGCGAACGGGUGAGUAAUACAUCGGAACAUGUCCUGUAGUGGGGGAUAGCCCGGCGAAAGCCGGAUUAAUACCGCAUACGAUCUACGGAUGAAAGCGGGGGACCUUCGGGCCUCGCGCUAUAGGGUUGGCCGAUGGCUGAUUAGCUAGUUGGUGGGGUAAAGGCCUACCAAGGCGACGAUCAGUAGCUGGUCUGAGAGGACGACCAGCGGGAGGGGGAGGGAGACAGGGCGCAGGGGCCGGGGGGAGGGAGCAGGGGGGGAUGGGGGGCGGGGGAGGGGAGGGUGGUGCAGGGGGGCGGCGGGUGUGGAGGAGGCGGUGGGGGGGGGAGGCAGGGGGGGGGGGAGAGAAGGGCUUGGCCCUGGGACGGGGGGGGGGUGACGGUACCGGGAGAAGAAGCACCGGCUAACUACGUG
rnacentral:rRNA from 1 species